GUGGGAUCGGGCAUGGCAUCCACGGGCUCCCGCAGCACCAGCUUCCUGCUCUCCGAGCCUAUUCUCUGAGCUUCAAGAUCCUUGCACUUACUUUUGAGGUCAUCACUUCGUGAACCACCACUGUCUAGAAGAACAGGAGAAGCAGAAGUGUUUCAAGUUAACAAGAGCCAUUAUGAGGAAUACAGAACAGCAGACUUGGUACUCCUGCAUCUUAGUGACGCACUGAAGCACCUGGGGAUGGGCUGGAGAAAUCACACACACACAGAGCCCUCCUGAUUUCAUCAGUGACCUGAACUGACUUCAUCUUCUACUGAUUCAUCUCUAUAGAAACAAAUAUUAAACUGUAAAAAAAUAAAAGGAAGAUGUGAAAGAUGUUAAGAAAUCCACUUUGUGCAGCAGCCAAACAGCCUGGUUACCUU